AUUUUUCAAAUUUGUUUUUUUGGGAAUUUCUAAUGGAAAAAUUUACAGUGGAGCAGAAUUAGAAGAGAUCCUAAAAAAAGGAUUGCUGGAAGUGCUGGCCAGCUGAACGACUGGCCUGGGUGCUGUGGGUGCUGAUACGCUUCUUGUGAUGCUUGGCCCAGAUUCUUGGGUUCUGGGUCCAGGGGUGGCCAAGGAUAUCGUUGCUGUGGUUGUGAUUGGUGCAGCAGUUGUUGGGUUCGUUGAUGUUGGACCCACGCUUCCCACCGGGUACAAGCUGAUGCUCUGGCCAUUUUCUCCAUCGGGGGCACUCGAAGAAACCGUGGAUGUGCCGGUUGUGCCGGACCCUGGCGAUGGUUGCCUGUAGACAUUAAUUUAGAACGUUGCUAAGUUAAGAAGCAUUUUAAUUCAUAGUAUUAUUGAAACAGAGAAUUUUUCGAGUGAGUAUAGAUAAAUAAAAAGCUUAGCAUGGAUAUGUGAUUUUGUAUAAUAAUGAAAUGCCAUUGAUAUAGGCAGAAGAAGAAAUAACUUUUGUAUUUCAUCAAAUGAUUGUAGCUUACGAUUGUAGAUCAAAAUUGUUCAAAGAGGUACGUCAUGGCCAUUCGAAUUUUUUUCAAUAUCUCGCUGUACAGAUGAAAUUUAUUAACAACUUUCUAAAGACACUGGAAAGACAUAUUUUGUGUUUCAUUAAAUGUUUGUAGAUUAUUGCUGUAGAUUAAAAUUGUUCAGAAAAAUACAUCAUGACCAUUCAAAUUUAUUCAUCACACUAUAAAACAGAAACUUAUAAAAAUCUUUUUAAGAACACUAGAGAAAAAUCGUACGAGAUCAUCGAGCGAGAUAAUCUUUAUAUCAUUAUAUUACAUUAUUAUGGACAUUAUUAUUUAUGAAUAUUAAAUGAACGAGACUUUAGAUGACAACUACAGAUUAAAAUUGUUCAGCAAAGUA
rnacentral:lncRNA from 1 species